rnacentral:rRNA from 1 species
AGUGAACGCUGGCGGUAGGCCUAACACAUGCAAGUCGAACGGCAGCACAGUAAGAGCUUGCUCUUACGGGUGGCGAGUGGCGGACGGGUGAGGAAUACAUCGGAAUCUACUUUUUCGUGGGGGAUAACGUAGGGAAACUUACGCUAAUACCGCAUACGACCUACGGGUGAAAGCAGGGGAUCUUCGGACCUUGCGCGAUUGAAUGAGCCGAUGUCGGAUUAGCUAGUUGGCGGGGUAAAGGCCCACCAAGGCGACGAUCCGUAGCUGGUCUGAGAGGAUGAUCAGCCACACUGGAACUGAGACACGGUCCAGACUCCUACGGGGGGCAGCAGUGGGGAAUAUUGGACAAUGGGCGCAAGCCUGGUCCAGCCAUACCGCGUGGGUGAAGAAGGCCUUCGGGUUGUAAAGCCCUUUUGUUGGGAAAGAAAAGCAGCAGGUUAAUACCCCGCUGUUCUGACGGUACCCAAAGAAUAAGCACCGGCUAACUUCGUG